rnacentral:rRNA from 1 species
GAGUUUGAUCCUGGCUCAGGAUGAACGCUGGCGGCGUGCUUAACACAUGCAAGUCGAACGAAACACCUUAUUUGAUUUUCUUCGGAACUGAAGAUUUGGUGAUUGAGUGGCGGACGGGUGAGUAACGCGUGGGUAACCUGCCCCACAGCCGGGGACAACUUCCCGAAAGGGAGGCUAAUACCGGAUACGAACCGGGCAUCGCAUGAUGCCGGGUUGAAAGAUGGCCUCUAUGUAUACGCUAUCGCUGUGGGAUGGGCCUGCGUCCGAUUAGCUGGUUGGUGAGGUAACGGCCUACCAAGGCGACGAUCCAUAGCCGGCCUGAGAGGGUGAACGGCCACAUUGGGACUGAGACACGGCCCAGACUCCUACGGGAGGCAGCAGUGGGGAAUAUUGCAAAUGGGGGAAACCCUGAUGCAGCGACGCCGCGUGGAGGAAGAAGGUCUUCGGAUUGUAAACUCCUGUUGUUGAGGAAGAUAAUGACGGUACUCAACAAGGAAGUGACGGCUAACUACGUGCCAGCCGCCGCGGUAAUAC